CCUACGGGAGGCAGCAGUGAGGAAUAUUGGUCAAUGGACGAGAGUCUGAACCAGCCAAGUAGCGUGAAGGAUGACUGCCCUAUGGGUUGUAAACUUCUUUUAUAAAGGAAUAAAACGAGGCACGUGUGCCUUUUUGCAUGUACUUUAUGAAUAAGGAUCGGCUAACUCCGUGCCAGCAGCCGCGGUAAUACGGAGGAUCCGAGCGUUAUCCGGAUUUAUUGGGUUUAAAGGGAGCGUAGAUGGGUUGUUAAGUCAGUUGUGAAAGUUUGCGGCUCAACCGUAAAAUUGCAAUUGAUACUGGAAGUCUUGAGUACAGUGGAGGUAGGCGGAAUUCGUGGUGUAGCGGUGAAAUGCUUAGAUAUCACGAAGAACCCCGAUUGCGAAGGCAGCUUACUAAACUGUGACUGACAUUGAUGCUCGAAAGUGUGGGUAUCAAACAGGAUUAGAUACCCGGGUAGUC
rnacentral:rRNA from 1 species